CCCUCUCGUUAGGAGAUACAGCUGUCUGCAAUUAUCGACUCUUUCUGCAGCUUGAAAAACCAGUGUUCCUUUGUUAGGGGAGAGCUUCUUUGAUGUCCUGUGUUGGUUGUUGCCCAGUAUAAGUUGUUGUAAAGUAUUUUAUAGCCGGUCCUGCAGAGGAAUGAUUGAACCCGUCCUUCCCUCACCAGCCUCCUGUGACGCACACGCGAAGAUGAGAUCAAGUGGAGUUCCAUCUGGAAUGCAGUGGGCCAACAACGAAAGGGAGAAGGUUCUAACCUAUCUAAGCAGGCCGGGGAGACUGUAAUAAUGCUUCUACCUCAAACACUGGAGCAUGACUGAUAAGGGCUGAUAAGAACCAUUACAAUGACUAACAAUUCCAUAGUCCAUGAUCAUAUGGUAAGGCACUGUGAAAGGCACCACCACCGAGGAAAAGCUAUUACUCCCCCCAAUUUGAUUUUUUUUUACUUUUGGAGAAUGUGUGUAUUGUAUUGCUAGUUAUUGCUGCAUUGGAGCUAGAAACAUAAGCAUUUUGCUACACCUGUGAUAUCAGCAAAACUGUGUACGUGGCUAAUAAACUUUGAUUUGAUCGAACUUUAAAAAACAGGGACGACUGGGAGGAGUGUGACAGUGUAUUGCUGUUACUGUCACAGUGGUUAACAACCCACUGAGCGACAGACAUUUACAAGGCAACCAAGACUAGUUAUUUACUUAGCUGGAGCCUUCUGUAAUAGCAUAAUUUUCUGGUAG